AUUGAACGCUGGCGGCAGGCCUAACACAUGCAAGUCGAGCGGAUGAAGGGAGCUUGCUCCUGGAUUCAGCUGCGGACGGGUGAGUAAUGCCUAGGAAUCUGCCUGGUAGUUGGGGAUAACGUCCGGAAACGGGCGCUAAUACCGCAUACGUCCUGAGGGAGAAAGUGGGGGAUCUUCGGACCUCACGCUAUCAGAUGAUCCUAGGUCGGAUUAGCUAGUUGGUGGGGUAAAGGCCUACCAAGGCGACGAUCCGUAACUGGUCUGAGAGGAUGAUCAGUCACACUGGAACUGAGACACGGUCCAGACUCCUACGGGAGGCAGCAGUGGGGAAUAUUGGACAAUGGGCGAAAGCCUGAUCCAGCCAUGCCGCGUGUGUGAAGAAGGUCUUCGGAUUGUAAAGCACUUUAAGUUGGGAGGAAGGGCAGUAAGUUAAUACCUUGCUGUUUUGACGUUACCAACAGAAUAAGCACCGGCUAACUUCGUG
rnacentral:rRNA from 1 species